GACGAACGCUGGCGGCGUGCCUAAUACAUGCAAGUAGGACGCUGAAGAGAGGAGCUUGCUCUUCUUGGAUGAGUUGCGAACGGGUGAGUAACGCGUAGGUAACCUGCCUUGUAGCGGGGGAUAACUAUUGGAAACGAUAGCUAAUACCGCAUAACAAUGGAUGACACAUGUCAUUUAUUUGAAAGGGGCAAUUGCUCCACUACAAGAUGGACCUGCGUUGUAUUAGCUAGUAGGUGAGGUAAUGGCUCACCUAGGCGACGAUACAUAGCCGACCUGAGAGGGUGAUCGGCCACACUGGGACUGAGACACGGCCCAGACUCCUACGGGAGGCAGCAGUAGGGAAUCUUCGGCAAUGGGGGCAACCCUGACCGAGCAACGCCGCGUGAGUGAAGAAGGUUUUCGGAUCGUAAAGCUCUGUUGUAAGUCAAGAACGGGUGUGAGAGUGGAAAGUUCACACUGUGACGGUAGCUUACCAGAAAGGGACGGCUAACUACGUG
rnacentral:rRNA from 1 species